GUGCCAGCAGCCGCGGUAAUACGUAGGGGGCAAGCGUUGUCCGGAAUUAUUGGGCGUAAAGCGCGCGCAGGCGGUCUUUUAAGUCUGAUGUGAAAUCUCGUGGCUCAACCGCGAGCGGUCAUUGGAAACUGGGAGACUUGAGUACAGAAGAGGAGAGUGGAAUUCCACGUGUAGCGGUGAAAUGCGUAGAGAUGUGGAGGAACACCAGUGGCGAAGGCGACUCUCUGGUCUGUCACUGACGCUGAGGUGCGAAAGCGUGGGUAGCGAACAGGAUUAGAAACCCUGGUAGUCC
rnacentral:rRNA from 1 species